rnacentral:rRNA from 1 species
CCUACGGGUGGCAGCAGUGGGGAAUAUUGGACAAUGGGGGCAACCCUGAUCCAGCCAUGCCGCGUGUGUGAAGAAGGCCCUCGGGUUGUAAAGCACUUUCAGUGAGGAAGAACGCCUGGUGGUUAAUACCCAUCAGGAAAGACAUCACUCACAGAAGAAGCACCGGCUAACUCCGUGCCAGCAGCCGCGGUAAUACGGAGGGUGCGAGCGUUAAUCGGAAUUACUGGGCGUAAAGCGCGCGUAGGUGGCUUGAUAAGCCGGUUGUGAAAGCCCCGGGCUCAACCUGGGAACGGCAUCCGGAACUGUCAGGCUAGAGUGCAGGAGAGGAAGGUAGAAUUCCCGGUGUAGCGGUGAAAUGCGUAGAGAUCGGGAGGAAUACCAGUGGCGAAGGCGGCCUUCUGGACUGACACUGACACUGAGGUGCGAAAGCGUGGGUAGCAAACAGGAUUAGAUACCCGAGUAGUC